rnacentral:rRNA from 1 species
UACGUAGGGUGCGAGCGUUAAUCGGAAUUACUGGGCGUAAAGCGUGCGCAGGCGGUUCGCUAAGACCGAUGUGAAAUCCCCGGGCUUAACCUGGGAACUGCAUUGGUGACUGGCGGGCUAGAGUAUGGCAGAGGGGGGUAGAAUUCCACGUGUAGCAGUGAAAUGCGUAGAGAUGUGGAGGAAUACCGAUGGCGAAGGCAGCCAUCUGGACCGACACUGACGCUGAGGCGCGAAAGCGUGGGGAGCAAACAGG